rnacentral:rRNA from 1 species
UGCCAGCAGCCGCGGUAACACGUAGGGUGCAAGCGUUGUCCGGAUUCAUUGGGCGUAAAGAGCUCGUAGGCGGUUUGGUAAGUCGGGUGUGAAAACUCAGGGCUCAACCCUGAGACGCCACUCGAUACUGCCAUGACUCGAGUCCGGUAGAGGAGCACGGAAUUUCUGGUGUAGCGGUGAAAUGCGCAGAUAUCAGAAGGAACACCAGUAGCGAAGGCGGUGCUCUGGGCCGGUACUGACGCUGAGGAGCGAAAGCGUGGGGAGCAAACAGGAUUAGAUA